AGGUUACAUGCUAGCACCUGACCUCACCAUGCUGGGAUCUCAUUUGUGCUGGGGAGCCUAGUGCCAUGGCAGCAGACUCACUUUCUUCCUGAGCUCAGAGAGAGCAGCCACCAUAGCGCUCGUAGCUUUUGUCACGAAUGCUGGUGUUCCAUGGACUCCUUUGUGCAUUAGUGAAGAGAAUUUCCUGCAAGCUGACAGUCGUCCUUGUAUGGAAGCAGUUCCUCAUGGAGGAGGCCCUGACUGUCUGUACCAUGCUUGGAUCUAAUUCUCAUUUGUGGAAUGGCGUCAACAAGAAAUCUUGGGAGUGGAGACUGAAGAGAAUCAUCAUCCCAAGAGAUAUCUGCACCAGAAACUUAUAA
rnacentral:lncRNA from 1 species